CGGAGGGUGCGAGCGUUAUCCGGAAUUACUGGGUUUAAAGGGUGCGUAGGCGGCUAUGUAAGUCAGGAGUGAAAGUUUGCGGCUCAACCGUAAAAUUGCUUUUGAUACUGCAUGGCUGGAAUUAGGAUGAGGUCAGCGGAAUGUGGCAUGUAGCGGUGAAAUGCAUAGAUAUGCCAUAGAACACCAAUUGCGAAGGCAGCUGGCUAGACCUGGAUUGACGCUGAGGCACGAAAGCGUGGGGAGCGAACAGGAUUAGAUACCCUGGUAGUCCACGCCCUAAACGAUGCUUACUCGACGUAUGGCCCUUGAGGUUGUGCGUCCAAGGGAAACCGUUAAGUAAGCCACCUGGGGAGUACGACCGCAAGGUUG
rnacentral:rRNA from 1 species